rnacentral:tRNA from 1 species
GCCGGGAUGGCGGAAUCUGGCAGAUGCGCACGCUUGAGGGGCAUGCGGGAUCUCCCGUAGGGGUUCAAGCCCCCUCCCGGCA